rnacentral:rRNA from 1 species
AAUCAACGCUGGCGGCGUGCCUCAGACAUGCAAGUCGAACGAUUAAACUUUCCUUCGGGAAAGAUAUAAAGUGGCGCACGGGUGAGUAACACGUAAGUAAUCUACCUUCGAGUGGGGAAUAACGUUCGGAAACGAACGCUAAUACCGCAUAAUGCAGCGGCACCUAAUGGUGACAGUUGUUAAAGGAGCAAUUCGCUUGAAGAGGAGCUUGCGGCAGAUUAGCUAGUUGGAAGGUAACGGCUUACCAAGGCUACGAUCUGUAACCGGUCUAAGAGGACGGUCGGUCACACUGACACUGAAUAACGGGUCAGACUCCUACGGGAGGCAGCAGUCGGGAAUUUUGGGCAAUGGGCGAAAGCCUGACCCAGCAACGCCGCGUGAAGGAUGAAGUAUUUCGGUAUGUAAACUUGAAAGAAUGGGAAGAAUCAAUGACGGUACCGAGAGAAGAA